rnacentral:rRNA from 1 species
UUCGGGGUGGACGCUCGUGGAACGAGCGGCGGACGGGUGAGUAACACGUGGGCAACCUACCUGUGAGACGGGGAUAACUCCGGGAAACCGGGGCUAAUACCGGAUAACGCAUCGAACCGCAUGGUUCGAUGAUCAAAGAUGGCUUCUAGCUAUCACUCACAGAUGGGCCCGCGGCGCAUUAGUUAGUUGGUGAGGUAACGGCUCACCAAGGCGACGAUGCGUAGCCGACCUGAGAGGGUGAUCGGCCACACUGGGACUGAGACACGGCCCAGACUCCUACGGGAGGCAGCAGUAGGGAAUCAUCCGCAAUGGACGCAAGUCUGACGGUGCAACGCCGCGUGAGCGAUGAAGGUCUUCGGAUCGUAAAGCUCUGUUGUGAGGGAAGAACAAGUGCCGUUCGAAUAGGGCGGCACCUUGACGGUACCUCACCAGAAAGCCCCGGCUAACUACGUGCCAGCAGCCGCGGUAAUACGUAGGGGGCAAGCGUUGUCCGGAAUUAUUGGGCGUAAAGCGCGCGCAGGCGGUUCCUUAAGUCUGAUGUGAAA